rnacentral:lncRNA from 1 species
GUUUGUAGAUCUUACUUUACUGAACAUUCUUGUUGCUACAAUUAUCUCUUUCUAUAAUGAACUUGGCCCAGUAAUUACAGUGGAAAAUAUUUUCUGAAAAUUUACAAAAAUUUAUGAAAAAUGUUAAAAAUUAACUAUAAAGGGCAAUAACUCCUUAAGGGGUCAAUUGACUAUUUUGGUCAUGUAAACUUAUUUGUAGAUCUUAUUUUGCUGAACGUUAUUGCUGGAUACAGUUUAUCUCUAUCUAUAAUAAUAUUCAAGAUAAUAACAAAACCAGAUGCUCCGCAGGGCGUAGCUUUAUACGACCGCAGAGGUUGAACCCUGAACGGUUGGGGCAAGUAUGGACACAACAUUCAAGCUGGAUUCAGCUCUAAAUUUGGAUUGUGAUUAAAUAGUUGACACAGCAUAGGUUUCUGACACAGAAUGAAUGUGUUCUAAUGAACUUAAAAUUUU